rnacentral:rRNA from 1 species
AGAGUUUGAUUCUGGCUCAGGAUGAACGCUGGCGGCGUGCUUAACACAUGCAAGUCGAACGGGAUAUACUUUUAGCUUGCUAAGUUGUAUAUCUAGUGGCGGACGGGUGAGUAACGCGUGGGUAACCUGCCGUAUGCUGGGGGACAACAGUUGGAAACGACUGCUAAUACCGCAUAAGCGCACGAGAUCGCAUGAUCCUGUGUGAAAAACUCCGGUGGCAUACGAUGGACCCGCGUCUGAUUAGCCAGUUGGCAGGGUAACGGCCUACCAAAGCGACGAUCAGUAGCCGGCCUGAGAGGGUGAACGGCCACAUUGGGACUGAGACACGGCCCAGACUCCUACGGGAGGCAGCAGUGGGGAACAUUGCACAAUGGGGGAAACCCUGAUGCAAGCGACGCCGCGUGAGUGAAGAAGUAUUUCGGUAUGUAAAGCUCUAUCAGCAGGAAAGAAAAUGACGGUACCUGACUAAGAAGCCCCGGCUAACUACGUGCCAGCAGCAGC